UGAGGAAUAUUGGGCAAUGCCCGCAAGGGUGACCCAGCAACGCCGCGUGGAGGAUGAAUGUCGUAAGAUUGUAAACUCCUGUUAGAGGGGAAGAAUAGUACCGGUUGGACCGGUAUAUGACUGUACCCUCAGAGAAAGCCCCGGCUAACUACGUGCCAGCAGCCGCGGUAAUACGUAGGGGGCAAGCGUUGUCCGGAUUUACUGGGUGUAAAGGGCGCGCAGGCGGGAUAAAAAGUCAGUGGUGAAAUCCUACAGCUUAACUGUAGAAGUGCCUUUGAUACUUUUAGUCUGUAGUUCGGGAGAGAGAGACGGAAUUCCAGGUGUAGUGGUGAAAUGCGUAGAUAUCUGGAAGAACACCAGUGGCGAAGGCGGUCAACUGGCCCAUAACUGACGCUCAUGCACGAAAGCGUGGGGAGCAAACA
rnacentral:rRNA from 1 species